rnacentral:rRNA from 1 species
CAGGCCUAACACAUGCAAGUCGAGCGGAAACGAGUUAACUGACCCUUCGGGUGACGUUAACGGCGUCGAGCGGCGGACGGGUGAGUAAUGCCUGGGAAAUUGCCCUGAUGUGGGGGAUAACCAUUGGAAACGAUGGCUAAUACCGCAUAAUAGCUUCGGCUCAAAGAGGGGGACCUUCGGGCCUCUCGCGUCAGGAUAUGCCCAGGUGGGAUUAGCUAGUUGGUGAGGUAAUGGCUCACCAAGGCGACGAUCCCUAGCUGGUCUGAGAGGAUGAUCAGCCACACUGGAACUGAGACACGGUCCAGACUCCUACGGGAGGCAGCAGUGGGGAAUAUUGCACAAUGGGCGCAAGCCUGAUGCAGCCAUGCCGCGUGUGUGAAGAAGGCCUUCGGGUUGUAAAGCACUUUCAGUCGUGAGGAAGGUAGUGUAGUUAAUAGCUGCAUUAUUUGACGUUAGCGACAGAAGAAGCACCGGCUAACUCCGUGCCAGCAGCCGCGGUAAUACGGAGGGUGCGAGCGUUAAUCGGA